GAUUGGUGGUUUAGUUCCAAGGAGAUCUGGGGGCACUGGUUAGUUCAUAUUGAUGUUCCUCCUAUAGGGCUUCAGACUCCUUCAGCUUCUUGAGUACUUUCUCUAGCUCCUUCAUUGGGGACCUUGUGCUCGGUCCAGUGGAUGAUUGUGAGCAUCUACUUCUGUGUUUGCCAGGCGCUGGCAGAGGCCCUCAGGAGACAGCUAUAUCAGGCUCAAGUCAGCAAGCUCUUGUUGGCAUCUGCCAUACUGUCUGAUUUUGGUGGUUGUUUAUGGGAUGGAUCCCCAAGUGGUGCAGUCUCUGGAUGGACCAUCCAGGGAUAUUUGUUUCUUAAUCCAUUCAACCAACCUGUUUCUUUUCACUGAGUAACUGAGGAGGCCAUUGAUAUUUAAACUUAUUAUUGAAAGGUGUAUGUUGAUUAGCAUUUGUGUUCUCAGGCCUAUUUUGUGAUUCAGUGAUUAUAUCUUCAUUUGUCUUCUUUCUGUACCAUUGUGGAUAUGUUCAUUCCUCUCUUCAGCCUAAAAUAUUGCUUCCAGUAUUCUCUGUAGGACUGGUUCAGUAAACACAAAUCAAAGGUACCAUCAAAAUAAUACUUAAGCAAAAUCAAAUUUGGCUGUUAGCUGUACAUGUUCCUUAACCUGUGUGUUUUAUUUUUAUUUUUCAAAAUAAUGAAGAAGCACCUUUACAACUUAAAAAAUGUUUUAACGGUUUUUUUAUUAAUAUAAUUACACCAUUUUCCUCUUUCUUUUCCUUCCUGCAAAUCCUUCGUCUUGCACUUUUUCAAAUUCAUAGCUUCUUUUUCUUUGUUGUUACACAUAUACACACAGGGGGCUUGAGGUGGAGAGAGAUUUAAAAAUUUCCUCAAAUAAUAUAAAAGGCUGCAUUUAAUUUUAAUUUUAGCAUCUAAUGAUUAAAAAAAACCUUUUUGGUCAGUUUGCACAUUAAUUAUUUGACUACAAAACCAUAAUUAAACGUGAUUAGCGAUUUCAGAUUUAUGAGAAUUUAAUUUAUGUAAUUUUAUCCUUUUUCAGUGUCUCUGUUAUGCUUUGACAAUGUAUUUAAUUUUUUAUGUUUUUGUAAGACUUAAAAAAAUCUCUUUUUUAAAGGCUAUGUCUCACCAUGUAGUCCUAGCUGCCCUGGAACUUAUCCUAUAGACCAGGCUGAUCUUGAACUCACAGUGAUUGUCCCCGUAAAUGUAGAAACCGUUUUAGAAUUUGUUUUUAUUUAUAUAUAUGCAUGUAUGUCUGUGUGAAUAUAUGCCAUGUUGCAUAGGUGUUCAUGAAAGCCAGAAGAGGGUGUCAGAUCCUCUGGAGCUGGAGUUACAGGCAGUUGUUAGUACCCCGGUCUGGAUUCUGGAGAGCAAACACUACUCCUCAGAACCGCUGUCAAUGCUCUUGACCACUGAGCCAUUUCUGGCCCAAUACUGUUUUUCGUGAAUCAGAACAAAGAACUCCUUAUUAGUCUGUUGGUCACAAAUGAAUCCAUUGUGUCAGUAACUUAUGUUAAUUAAUUCAGGCAAGAUAGGAACCAAUGAUCAAUUUCAGACAACGAGGGACAAUAAGUUAGGGAAGACUGAAAUGAUUUCUUCAAUGUCAAAGGCAUCUAUUGUAUUUGAUUUUGGGCUGUAAUCAGGGACUUUAAGCAAGAGAGUUCUUUACAGUUUGACUUUUGCUUAAUUAUAGCAUGCAACACAUAGAAUAUGAUAUAUACACAUGAUUAUAUUUAAUUAGGUGUAUGCAGUUGUUUUUGCUAUAUUUUUAUUUGUAUAUACUAACCUGAAAUUUAAAGAGUUUUCUAUAGACACACAUGUAUAUACAUCACACACACACAAAUAGGCAUAUAUAUUUUACAGUUGAAAGCUUCAGGGUCAAGAGUGAUUCUAAUUAUCAAUCACAAAAUUUUGUGGUGAAGUUGGGGUGGCUUGAGGAAUGUAAUAUUUUGUUACUGUUGAUCUUUAUGGUUAUGUUUUUAGCAUAUUCUACUUAAAGUACUUGAGAAAUCACCACUUUGAAUAUGGAUUCAUUUCUAAAGCUAGCAUGAGUGCCCAUCAGUGAUGUUCCCUCUCAUCACAUCUUGCAGACCUUGAAAGGCCUGCUUUGUACGCUAAGGGAAGUGUCUGAACUAUCAUUGCUCUUAAUGUCCAUCUUCAAGUUCAGAGUUGGCCAACCCACGAUUACUGUCUUUCCUCUUGGCCAUCACAAAUCUUGGGUUGGGUAUUGAGUCCCAGGGUUGCUGCUCUGUGUCCUUUCCUGUCCUCUAGGUAAGCCCCACUCUACUGCAGGGGGCUCUUUUCUCAUUACUUCUUAUACCUCUUUCAGAUUCUUCUUAUCUGUUAUGUUUGUAUGAGUCUGGGUGUGUGAGUACCAUCAUGAGCCCGUGUAUAGCAGGUGACAAUGCUAAGGAGUUGGUUUUUCUCCUGUUAGCUUAUGGGAACCAGGUACUGAUCUUCAUACAAGUGCCUCUGUCCACCUAUCCAUCUUGCUACCCUUGAGAUUCCAUCUCAUUUUUCAUGAGCAAAGUUUACAGUGAACCUGAUAUUCUGCAUCUCUAGCAUAUAUGAAAGUACUUCUGAUGCUUAUGAGCUAUGGGUUGAGCUAAGUAGUAAGGCUUUAGAAAGAAUAACCUGUUUUUCAUAGAAAAUGCAUAUUUUGGAGGAAUGGAGAGAUGGCUUAGUGGUUAAAAGCACUUGUUGCUCUUGUAGAGGAUCUAGGUUUGGUUCCCAGCACACAUCUAUCACUCCAGUUCCAGGGGCUCUGAUGUUCUCCUUUAUCUCUCAGUGUACCAGACAUGUACAUGUAACACAUAUACAUGCAAACAAAACACUCAUACACAUUUAAUAGAAUUAAUAAAUCUAAAAGGAAAAUACAUGAUUUACAAAAAUAUUUUAC
rnacentral:lncRNA from 1 species